UGGGGAGGCUGCCCGAGAGGAGGGCUUUGACCUGCGCCCUCUGGACCGGAAUGGCGCCAUUCCCUGAGAAGCUCCCUCUGGGAGAAUGAAUUUCUCUCGAAGUUCAAGAACACCAUAUUUACUUACAGGCAAUUUCCAGGAGAAAAGCAAAGUACUAUUCUGGGCCAGAGGGGAUGAUGGGGAAGAUCAAGGCAGGUUAGAGAAGCAAAGCCAUUCCCAACAAGUGGAGGAGUAGUAGUGAGAGGAAGCCAAGAAAAACCGCCAACCUA